AGUGAACGCUGGCGGUAGGCCUAACACAUGCAAGUCGAACGGCAGCACAGUAAGAGCUUGCUCUUACGGGUGGCGAGUGGCGGACGGGUGAGGAAUAUAUCGGAAUCUACUUUUUCGUGGGGGAUAACGUAGGGAAACUUACGCUAAUACCGCAUACGACCUACGGGUGAAAGCAGGGGAUCUUCGGACCUUGCGCGAUUGAAUGAGCCGAUGUCGGGUUUGCUAGUUGGCGGGGUAAAGGCCCACCAAGGCGACGAUCCGUAGCUGGUCUGAGAGGAUGGUCAGCCACACUGGAACGGAGACACGGUCCAGACUCCUACGAGAGGCAGCAGUGGGGAAUAUUAGACAGUGGGCGCAAGCCUGAUCCAGCCAUACCGCGUGGGUGAAGAAGGCCUUCGGGUUGGAAAGCCCUUUUGUUGGGAAAGAAAAGCAGUAGGUUAAUACCCCGCUGUUCUGACGGUACCCAAAGAAUAAGCACCGGCUAACUUCGUG
rnacentral:rRNA from 1 species